GAGUUUGAGGAAGUUAUUGGACUUAGUAGCUCGGUGAGAAAACAUUGAGGAUCUGGAGUUCUUCUUCUCCUACCGAUGCCACUAAGUCCCAUGAUUUCCUCUGCCUC
rnacentral:pre_miRNA from 1 species